UACGGAGGGUGCAAGCGUUAUCCGGAUUUAUUGGGUUUAAAGGGUGCGUAGGCGGCUUAUUAAGUCAGGGGUGAAAGACGGUGGCUCAACCAUCGCAGUGCCCUUGAUACUGAUGAGCUUGAAUACACUUGAGGUAGGCGGAAUGUGACAAGUAGCGGUGAAAUGCAUAGAUAUGUCACAGAACACCAAUUGCGAAGGCAGCUUACUAAGGUGCUAUUGACGCUGAGGCACGAAAGCGUGGGGAUCAAACAGG
rnacentral:rRNA from 1 species